CAAGCCCCAUGAAGAACCCACAGCCCUCAGGACGAGCUGCAUGCCGGGCGGUGAGGAUUCGCCCAGUCUGCAGGGCAGACCCGACCAUGUCCUUGUCUGAGAGUGGGAAAACGGACACUGCAAAGCGCUGGCAACAGAGGGACAAACUGCAGCUGGGGACCUGGGAUUCCGUAGGUGGCACUUUCUGAUGCCCUGUCAGAGACCAGCUGGCUGGUUUUCCGAGCAAAACAGCUUUGCAGGCGAGCUUCAGAGCCAACUCUAAAGGAUCGUCAAGAGCACGGCCGCCUCCCAGCACACACCCUGUCCUUGGCGUGGCUCCCGCAGCAGCCCUGGCCUCGCGCCUGUCUCCCGGCCUCCUCAGAGCCUGGCCUGGCUCCAGCCGUCUCCACCACUGUGUGACUGGGUCCCCUCCCGCUCUGCGCCAUCCCCCAGGGCGCCCCUUUGGCUCUCCUGCAAACAUACUGAGGGGACGUCCCCUCCCACUCUGGGCAGGUUUCUUAACCCUCUCUUUAAUAAAUAUAAAAAUAGUUCCUGCCUCAUAAGAUAGUUCUAAAAAUUAAAUAGUAAAGCCCUUAGCAGAGUGCCUGCUUAAGAGUGAUCUCUCGGAAAAUAAGUUUGUUCUUGUAAUAAUAAACAACAACUCGAGUCCA